AUAUAGGUAGUAUACGUUUGAAGUAUUCUGUCUUUCCAAGUCAGGGGUCCCCGAUAGAGGGGUCUAUAUA
rnacentral:tRNA from 1 species